rnacentral:rRNA from 1 species
AACCCUGAUGCAGCGACGCCGCGUGAGGAAGAAGGUCUUCGGAUUGUAAACUCCUGUUGUUGAGGAAGAUAAUGACGGUACUCAACAAGGAAGUGACGGCUAACUACGUGCCAGCAGCCGCGGUAAAACGUAGGUCACAAGCGUUGUCCGGAAUUACUGGGUGUAAAGGGAGCGCAGGCGGGCGAUCAAGUUGGAAGUGAAAUCCAUGGGCUCAACCCAUGAACUGCUUUCAAAACUGAUUGUCUUGAGUAGUGCAGAGGUAGGCGGAAUUCCCGGUGUAGCGGUGGAAUGCGUAGAUAUCGGGAGGAACACCAGUGGCGAAGGCGGCCUACUGGGCACCAACUGACGCUGAGGCUCGAAAGUGUGGGUAGCAAACAGGAUUAGAUACCCUGGUAGUCCACACCGUAAACGAUGAUUACUAGGUGUUGGAGGAUUGACCCCUUCAGUGCCGCAGUUAACACAAUAAGUAAUCCACCUGGGGAGUACGACCGCAAGGUUGCAACUCAAAGGAAUUGACGGA